GGGUUGUGAGGUUAAGCGACUAAGCGUACACGGUGGAUGCCCUGGCAGUCAGAGGCGAUGAAGGACGUGCUAAUCUGCGAUAAGCGUCGGUAAGGUGAUAUGAACCGUUAUAACCGGCGAUUUCCGAAUGGGGAAACCCAGUGUGUUUCGACACACUAUCAUUAACUGAAUCCAUAGGUUAAUGAGGCGAACCGGGGGAACUGAAACAUCUAAGUACCCCGAGGAAAAGAAAUCAACCGAGAUUCCCCCAGUAGCGGCGAGCGAACGGGGAGCAGCCCAGAGCCUGAAUCAGUGUGUGUAUUAGUGGAAGCGUCUGGAAAGGCGCGCGAUACAGGGUGACAGCCCCGUACACAAAAAUGCACAUGCUGUGAGCUCGAUGAGUAGGGCGGGACACGUGGUAUCCUGUCUGAAUAUGGGGGGACCAUCCUCCAAGGCUAAAUACUCCUGACUGACCGAUAGUGAACCAGUACCGUGAGGGAAAGGCGAAAAGAACCCCGGCGAGGGGAGUGAAAAAGAACCUGAAACCGUGUACGUACAAGCAGUGGGAGCCUCUUUAUGGGGUGACUGCGUACCUUUUGUAUAAUGGGUCAGCGACUUAUAUUCUGUAGCAAGGUUAACCGAAUAGGGGAGCCGAAGGGAAACCGAGUCUUAACUGGGCGUUAAGUUGCAGGGUAUAGACCCGAAACCCGGUGAUCUAGCCAUGGGCAGGUUGAAGGUUGGGUAACACUAACUGGAGGACCGAACCGACUAAUGUUGAAAAAUUAGCGGAUGACUUGUGGCUGGGGGUGAAAGGCCAAUCAAACCGGGAGAUAGCUGGUUCUCCCCGAAAGCUAUUUAGGUAGCGCCUCGUGAAUUCAUCUCCGGGGGUAGAGCACUGUUUCGGCAAGGGGGUCAUCCCGACUUACCAACCCGAUGCAAACUGCGAAUACCGGAGAAUGUUAUCACGGGAGACACACGGCGGGUGCUAACGUCCGUCGUGAAGAGGGAAACAACCCAGACCGCCAGCUAAGGUCCCAAAGUCAUGGUUAAGUGGGAAACGAUGUGGGAAGGCCCAGACAGCCAGGAUGUUGGCUUAGAAGCAGCCAUCAUUUAAAGAAAGCGUAAUAGCUCACUGGUCGAGUCGGCCUGCGCGGAAGAUGUAACGGGGCUAAACCAUGCACCGAAGCUGCGGCAGCGACGCUUAUGCGUUGUUGGGUAGGGGAGCGUUCUGUAAGCCUGCGAAGGUGUGCUGUGAGGCAUGCUGGAGGUAUCAGAAGUGCGAAUGCUGACAUAAGUAACGAUAAAGCGGGUGAAAAGCCCGCUCGCCGGAAGACCAAGGGUUCCUGUCCAACGUUAAUCGGGGCAGGGUGAGUCGACCCCUAAGGCGAGGCCGAAAGGCGUAGUCGAUGGGAAACAGGUUAAUAUUCCUGUACUUGGUGUUACUGCGAAGGGGGGACGGAGAAGGCUAUGUUGGCCGGGCGACGGUUGUCCCGGUUUAAGCGUGUAGGCUGGUUUUCCAGGCAAAUCCGGAAAAUCAAGGCUGAGGCGUGAUGACGAGGCACUACGGUGCUGAAGCAACAAAUGCCCUGCUUCCAGGAAAAGCCUCUAAGCAUCAGGUAACAUCAAAUCGUACCCCAAACCGACACAGGUGGUCAGGUAGAGAAUACCAAGGCGCUUGAGAGAACUCGGGUGAAGGAACUAGGCAAAAUGGUGCCGUAACUUCGGGAGAAGGCACGCUGAUAUGUAGGUGAAGCGACUUGCUCGUGGAGCUGAAAUCAGUCGAAGAUACCAGCUGGCUGCAACUGUUUAUUAAAAACACAGCACUGUGCAAACACGAAAGUGGACGUAUACGGUGUGACGCCUGCCCGGUGCCGGAAGGUUAAUUGAUGGGGUUAGCGGUAACGCGAAGCUCUUGAUCGAAGCCCCGGUAAACGGCGGCCGUAACUAUAACGGUCCUAAGGUAGCGAAAUUCCUUGUCGGGUAAGUUCCGACCUGCACGAAUGGCGUAAUGAUGGCCAGGCUGUCUCCACCCGAGACUCAGUGAAAUUGAACUCGCUGUGAAGAUGCAGUGUACCCGCGGCAAGACGGAAAGACCCCGUGAACCUUUACUAUAGCUUGACACUGAACAUUGAGCCUUGAUGUGUAGGAUAGGUGGGAGGCUUUGAAGUGUGGACGCCAGUCUGCAUGGAGCCGACCUUGAAAUACCACCCUUUAAUGUUUGAUGUUCUAACGUUGGCCCCUGAUCGGGGUUGCGGACAGUGUCUGGUGGGUAGUUUGACUGGGGCGGUCUCCUCCUAAAGAGUAACGGAGGAGCACGAAGGUUGGCUAAUCCUGGUCGGACAUCAGGAGGUUAGUGCAAUGGCAUAAGCCAGCUUGACUGCGAGCGUGACGGCGCGAGCAGGUGCGAAAGCAGGUCAUAGUGAUCCGGUGGUUCUGAAUGGAAGGGCCAUCGCUCAACGGAUAAAAGGUACUCCGGGGAUAACAGGCUGAUACCGCCCAAGAGUUCAUAUCGACGGCGGUGUUUGGCACCUCGAUGUCGGCUCAUCACAUCCUGGGGCUGAAGUAGGUCCCAAGGGUAUGGCUGUUCGCCAUUUAAAGUGGUACGCGAGCUGGGUUUAGAACGUCGUGAGACAGUUCGGUCCCUAUCUGCCGUGGGCGCUGGAGAACUGAGGGGGGCUGCUCCUAGUACGAGAGGACCGGAGUGGACGCAUCACUGGUGUUCGGGUUGUCAUGCCAAUGGCACUGCCCGGUAGCUAAAUGCGGAAGAGAUAAGUGCUGAAAGCAUCUAAGCACGAAACUUGCCCCGAGAUGAGUUCUCCCUGAGACUUUAAGUCUCCUGAAGGAACGUUGAAGACGACGACGUUGAUAGGCCGGGUGUGUAAGCGCAGCGAUGCGUUGAGCUAACCGGUACUAAUGAACCGUGAGGCUUAACCUUACAACGCCGAAGGUGUUU
rnacentral:rRNA from 1 species